rnacentral:rRNA from 1 species
CUGGCUAUAGGAAAUUGUUAGUGGCAGACGGGUGAGUAAUGCGUAGGAAUCUACCUAGUAGUACGGAAUAGCCAUUAGAAAUGGUGGGUAAUACUGUAUAAUCCCCGAGGGGGAAAGAUUUAUCGCUAUUAGAUGAGCCUACGUUAGAUUAGCUAGUUGGUGAGGUAAUGGCUUACCAAGGCUAUGAUCUAUAGCUGGUCUGAGAGGACGAUCAGCCACACUGGAACUGAGAUACGGUCCAGACUCCUACGGGAGGCAGCAGUGGGGAAUAUUGGACAAUGGGCGAAAGCCUGAUCCAGCUAUGCCGCGU